rnacentral:rRNA from 1 species
GUUUAGGGGUAAACCUGAGAAACCCGAAAGGUCGAAAGGAGAAAUUCAUUCGCGUUUCGGCGUCGGCGUCGAACGGUCGCGUGACGGGGGCGCGUUCGCGCGUCUCCCGCACCUUCCGUUCGUCGAACCGGCGACGAACGCGUGCACUUUUCUCCCGGUAGGACGUCGCGAUCCGUUGGGUGUCGGUCUACGGCGCGGGGCGGAGCCCGUCCGUCGAAUUCACGUUCGCACGGACGGACCCUCGCAGUUCCAGGCUGACUCGCUCGACGGUAUAAGAAAGGUUUAAGGCCGCUCUUCGGAGCGUUCGGCUCGCGGCAAGCGCGCCAGUCGCGUCGGCGAUCGGACCCGGUGCCGAUUCUGACCUCUGGUGACUGUUGGCCGCGAAGUUCUCGAACAGACCUUCGGACCGAUCUGCGACGAUAUAGCUUUGGGUACUUUCAGGACCCGUCUUGAAACACGGACCAAGGAGUCUAGCAUGUGCGCGAGUCAUUGGGAAUCACUAAACCUAAAGGCGCAAUGAAAGUGAAGGUCUUCCUCGCGAAGACCGAGGGAGGACGGGCGGUUUACCCUUAAAAGUGGCCGCUCCGCACUCCCGGGGCGUCUCGUUCUCAUCGCGAGAAGAGGCGCACCAAGAGCGUACACGCUGGGACCCGAAAGAUGGUGAACUAUGCCUGGUCAGGACGAAGUCAGGGGAAACCCUGAUGGAGGUCCGUAGCGAUUCUGACGUGCAAAUCGAUCGUCGGAACUGGGUAUAGGGGCGAAAGACUAAUCGAACCAUC